rnacentral:rRNA from 1 species
AAGUUUCAGCCUGCGGCCGUACUUCCCAGGUGGCUCGCUUCACGGCUUCCCUACGGCACCGACAACGGUCGCACCGUGGCCGACACCUAGCGAGUAUCGUUUACGGCUAGGACUACCCGGGUAUCUAAUCCGGUUCGUGCCCCUAGCUUUCGUCCCUUGCCGUCAGGUCCGUUCUGGUGAGACGCCUUCGCCACUGGUGGUCCUUCAAGGAUUACAAGAUUUCACCCCUACCCCUGAAGUACCUCUCACCUCUCCCGGCCUCGAGCCGAACAGUAUCUCCUGAAAGCCCAACAGUUGAGCUGCUGGAUUUCUCAAGAGACUUAUCCGGCCGGCUACAGACCCUUUAGACCCAAUAAUAACGGUUACCACUCGAGCCGCCGGUGUUACCGCGGCGGCUGGCACCGGUCUUGCCCGGCCCUUGCUAUGCAAUGCUUUUUAUGCAUCACGACAGCCAGAUUUGUAACCUGGCACUCGAGGUCCCCUUAUCGCCUUUGCCGGCAUUGUAAAGUUUU